UGAGACGAAGUUACUUGUCUGAGGUCUGGU
rnacentral:piRNA from 1 species